rnacentral:misc_RNA from 1 species
AACGCACAUUGCGCCCUUUGGCAUUCCUUAGGGCAUGCCUGUUCGAGCGUCAUUUAUACCCUCAAGCGCAGCUUGGUGUUGGGCGUCUGUCCCCCCUCCGGGGCGUGGACUCGCCUCAAAGUCAUUGGCGGCCGGUACGUAGGCUUCGAGCGCAGCACAGUCGCGUCUCGGGGCUCGCGGUACCUGCGACCAAAAGGCACUUCUUCCACAGUUUGACCUCGGAUCAGGUAGGGAUACCCGCUGAACUUAA